UACGUAGGGUGCAAGCGUUGUCCGGAAUUAUUGGGCGUAAAGAGCUCGUAGGCGGUCUGUCGCGUCGGAUGUGAAAAUCCAGGGCUUAACCCUGGACCUGCAUUCGAUACGGGCAGACUAGAGUUCGGUAGGGGAGACUGGAAUUCCUGGUGUAGCGGUGAAAUGCGCAGAUAUCAAGCAGAACACCUGCGGCGAAGGCGGCCUUCUGGACGAUGACUGACGCUGAGACACGAAAGCGUGGGGAGCAAACAGG
rnacentral:rRNA from 1 species